GCAAUGUUGGUUUAGUGGUAAAAUUGCCGCCUGCCACGCGGCAGCCCCGGGUUCGAUUCCCGGACAUUGCA
rnacentral:tRNA from 1 species